rnacentral:rRNA from 1 species
UACGUAGGGUGCAAGCGUUAAUCGGAAUUACUGGGCGUAAAGCGUGCGCAGGCGGUUGUGCAAGACAGAUGUGAAAUCCCCGGGCUCAACCUGGGAACUGCAUUUGUGACUGCACGGCUGGAGUGCGGCAGAGGGGGAUGGAAUUCCGCGUGUAGCAGUGAAAUGCGUAGAUAUGCGGAGGAACACCGAUGGCGAAGGCAAUCCCCUGGGCCUGCACUGACGCUCAUGCACGAAAGCGUGGGGAGCGAAACAAGG